rnacentral:rRNA from 1 species
UACGGGGGGAGCAAGCGUUGUUCGGAUUUACUGGGCGUAAAGGGCGCGUAGGCGGUCAGCACAAGUCAGUUGUGAAAUCUCCGGGCUUAACUCGGAAAGGUCAACUGAUACUGUGCGACUAGAGUGCAGAAGGGGCAACUGGAAUUCGUCGGUGUAGCGGUGAAAUGCGUAGAUAUCGAGAGGAACACCUGCGGCGAAGGCGGGUGCUGGGCUGACACUGACGCUGAUGCGCGAAAGCCAGGGGAGGCGAACGGG